rnacentral:rRNA from 1 species
GGUGAGUAACACGUGGGCAAUCUGCCCUUCACUCUGGGACAAGCCCUGGAAACGGGGUCUAAUACCGGAUAACACUCCUGCCUGCAUGGGUGGGGGUUAAAAGCUCCGGCGGUGAAGGAUGAGCCCGCGGCCUAUCAGCUUGUUGGUGGGGUAAUGGCCCACCAAGGCGACGACGGGUAGCCGGCCUGAGAGGGCGACCGGCCACACUGGGACUGAGACACGGCCCAGACUCCUACGGGAGGCAGCAGUGGGGAAUAUUGCACAAUGGGCGAAAGCCUGAUGCAGCGACGCCGCGUGAGGGAUGACGGCCUUCGGGUUGUAAACCUCUUUCAGCAGGGAAGAAGCGAAAGUGACGGUACCUGCAGAAGAAGCGCCGGCUAACUACGUGCCAGCAGCCGCGGUAAUACGUAGGGCGCAAGCGUUGUCCGGAAUUAUUGGGCGUAAAGAGCUCGUAGGCGGCUUGUCACGUCGGAUGUGAAAGCCCGAGGCUUAACCUCGGGUCUGCAUUCGAUACGGGCUAGCUAGAGUGUGGUAGGGGAGAUCGGAAUUCCUGGUGUAGCGGUGAAAUGCGCAGAUAUCANGAGGAACACCGGUGGCGAAGGCGGAUCUCUGGGCCAUUACUGACGCUGANGAGCGAAAGCGUGGGGAGCGAACAGGAUUAGAUACCCUGGUAGUCCACGCCNUAAACGUUGGGAACUAGGUG